rnacentral:tRNA from 1 species
GGGGAUAUAGCUCAGUUGGUAGAGUGCUUGCCUGGCAUGCAUAAGGCUCUGGGUACAAUCCCCAGCACCA